rnacentral:rRNA from 1 species
CCUACGGGAGGCAGCAGUGGGGAAUCUUGCGCAAUGGGCGAAAGCCUGACGCAGCGACGCCGCGUGGGUGAUGAAGGCCUUCGGGUUGUAAAGCUCUGUGGGGAGAGACGAAUAAGGCAUGGCUAAUAUCCAUGGUGAUGACGGUAUCUCCUUAGCAAGCACCGGCUAACUCUGUGCCAGCAGCCGCGGUAAGACAGAGGGUGCAAACGUUGUUCGGAAUUACUGGGCGUAAAGCGUGUGUAGGCGGCCAAGUAAGUUGGAUGUGAAAGCCCGGGGCUCAACCCCGGAAGUGCAUUCAAUACUGCAUGGCUUGAGUAUCGGAGAGGUUGGUGGAAUUCUCGGUGUAGAGGUGAAAUCCGUAGAUAUCGAGAGGAACACCGGUGGCGAAGGCGGCCAACUGGACGAAUACUGACGCUGAGACACGAAAGCGUGGGGAGCAAACAGGAUUAGAUACCCUGGUAGUCCACGCCGUAAAACGAUGGGUGCGUAGUGUCGACGGCGAUGUACUCCGUCGGUGCGUACGCACGCAUAGACACCCGCCGCGGAGACGGCCGCGAGACGUAAACGUAACGUAAGAAGUAGACGGACGUGAGACGNGCCGACGGACGACGACGAGGGAGGAGG